rnacentral:piRNA from 1 species
GUCAUCCAUGCUUUCAGAGGGACUUGCGGCCU